UACGAAGGGGGCUAGCGUUGUUCGGAUUUACUGGGCGUAAAGCGCACAUAGGCGGAUCGUUAAGUCGGGGGUGAAAUCCUGGAGCUCAACUCCAGAACUGCCUUCGAUACUGGCGAUCUAGAGUCCGGAAGAGGUGAGUGGAACUCCUAGUGUAGAGGUGGAAUUCGUAGAUAUUAGGAAGAACACCAGUGGCGAAGGCGGCUCACUGGUCCGGUACUGACGCUGAGGUGCGAAAGCGUGGGGAGCAAACAGG
rnacentral:rRNA from 1 species